rnacentral:lncRNA from 1 species
GGGGUCCUUUCUAGCUUGUUGUUCGGUAUGAGCCAAGGCUCCAUGUUGGAGGCCGUACAUUUACCUAUAAUGAUUUACUUUUAUAAAUUGUUAUUUUGAUGGAGAGUUGUCUCAUUGGCACCUUCCUAUAUCCAUAUAUGCAAGGAAAUUAUUUUCAAUUAAAGCCAGCUUGGUGUUUUUUAAAACUUAUACUAGUAUAUCUUUUCAAUCGAUUUUUUUU